rnacentral:misc_RNA from 1 species
UCUGUAUGUGCUGCAAUUGAGUAUAUGGAUCAAUUUGAUCAUGACAAUGAUUGUCUAAUUGAAAAUGAUGGUUUCCCUGAUCAAACAUAUGAUACAUGGACAGUUCAUGGAAUAAGUGCUUACUGUGGUGGUUUAUGGCUUGCUGCUCUUCAAGCUGCAGCUGCGAUGGCCAUGCACGUGGGCGACUAUGCCUUUGCAGAAAAAUGCAAAGGCAAAUUGAUAAAAGCCAAGACAGUAUAUGAGGAAAAAUUAUGGAAUGGCUCAUAUUUUAACUAUGACAGUGGUUCUAGUAGUAACAGUAAGUCAAUCCAGGCUGAUCAGCUAGCUGGUCAGUGGUAUAUGGCAUCUUCUGGCUUGCCUGAUCUCUUUGAUGCUGUAAAGAUCAAGAGUACUCUUCAAAAGAUUUACGACUUCAAUGUCAUGAAAGUUCGUGGAGGCAGAAUGGGUGCAGUAAAUGGAAUGCAUCCAAAUGGAAAGGUGGAUGAUACUUGCAUGCAAUCUCGUGAGAUAUGGACUGGUGUCACAUAUGGUGUGGCUGCCACCAUGCUUCAUGCUGGUAUGGAGGAACAGGCAUUCAAUACAGCUGAAGGCAUAUUCACCGCAGGCUGGUCAGAGGAUGGCUAUGGAUACUCAUUUCAAACACCCGAAGGUUGGACUACUGAUGGACAUUUUCGAUCUCUGAUAUAUAUGAGGCCUCUCUCAAUUUGGGGCAUGCAAUGGGCAUUAUCGAUGCCUAAGACAAUCCUUGAUGCCCCUAAGGUCAAUAUAAUGGACAGAAUUCAAGUGAAACCCCACACACCUCAGGAGACAGGUGUCCAGAAAAUAGUCAAAAAAGCAAAAUGUUUUAACAAUUCUAUCUUCAGCUGUUCUUGCUAAGAGUCAUUUCAGUUCAUAGGUUUUAACCUUUUGUAGAAAUUCAUUCCUUCCUUCCGCGUCUAGGGGAGACAGUGAAAAGUCGCUGUCUGGCUAAUGUCUUGACAAAAAGGGCUAUAAAGAGAUCUGCAGUACUUGACUUGACAGAGAUAUAAUGACGAAAGCUGGUAUGAUAAUCUGGUGGUUCUUUAUCGAUGAGUCUCAACUUUGUAAGUACACAUCUCUGAUGUGUAUGCGUGUAUAUUACAAGAUCCAUGUAAUAUCUGGGUGCAUUGGUAUACUAGUGAAACUAAGUUCUUUAUAAUUUUGAGCUGAAACGGUGCGAAAUGGACGUGGGGUUGAGACAGGUCCUCAAGUUUGGUGUAGUCAAUCUGCAAGAAAAUCAGUUUGUAUAGGAUGUUAUUAGUAUGGAACUGAAAUAUUUCUGUUCAUAG